UGGAGCUUUACAUAAAGCAGGCUGCAUCGAUCUAAUGCUCAGACCUACACUGGAAGCAGAGCAUCUCUGACCUGUCAACCCCUGUUCCUGGUAGUGUCCACUGGUGAUGUUGCUCCUGACCCUGGUGGCUAGAGUUUGACCCAUUUGUCGGCUCAGCCCUCAUUCGCGACUCGGAGGAUGCUUUACACUUGAGCAUUUGUGCUACAACUAGAAUCUCAAGGGCACAAGGUUCAGACCACAGUGAAGAGAAGCACCAAUCUUGCCUCCUUGAUUGUUCACCUUUGCGUUUUGUUGGCUUCACCUUCCUUAUCUGUAAGAAAGAAAGGCGCUUGCUGAGCUUUCCUAGAAAGCACAGUUCUUUGUCCUGGACACUCCUGACAUCUUGCCAAUGUGGAGAAGGCUUAUUUACAUUACCUGUCAUCGUCUCAAGCCUUGUAGACCUGCUGCCAGGCUCCCUGCUGCUUCCACAGUCCCAGCUCGCGCUCACACCUUGACUUGCUUUUCCAAGUCACCAUCUCAGUGAUAUAAGUGAAAAUUUUCAACUCUUGUGUUCCAC
rnacentral:lncRNA from 1 species